UGAAGGAAUGCCCAAGUUAGGCGGGUGAAGCGGCCUAGCUCAAUUUGAAAUCUGGCCCUAGCGGUCCGAGUUGUAAUUUGUAGAGGAUGCUUUUGGUGAGGUGCCUUCCGAGUUCCCUGGAACGGGACGCCGGAGAGGGUGAGAGCCCCGUACGGUUGGACGCCAAACCUCUGUAUAGCUCCUUCGACGAGUCGAGUAGUUUGGGAAUGCUGCUCUAAAUGGGAGGUAAAUUUCUUCUAAAGCUAAAUACCGGCCAGAGACCGAUAGCGCACAAGUAGAGUGAUCGAAAGAUGAAAAGCACUUUGAAAAGAGGGUUAAAUAGCACGUGAAAUUGUUGAAAGGGAAGCGUUUGCGACCAGACUUUUUCCAGGCGGAUCAUCCGGCGUUCUCGCCGGUGCACUCCGCCUGGUUGAGGCCAGCAUCGGUUUCCUUAGGGGGAUAAAGGCCUGGGGAACGUAGCUCCUUCGGGAGUGUUAUAGCCCCUGGCGUAAUACCCCUCGGGGGACCGAGGAACGCGCUCUGCAAGGAUGCUGGCGUAAUGGUCGUCAACGACCCGUCUUGAAGCACGGACCAAGGAGUCGAACAUUUGUGCGAGUGUUUGGGUGUCGCACCCUCACGCGUAAUGAAAGUGAACGGAGGUGAGAGCCCUUACGGGUGCAUCAUCGACCGAUCCUGAUGUCUUCGGAUGGAUUUAAUUAAGAGGAUAACUGUUC
rnacentral:rRNA from 1 species